rnacentral:rRNA from 1 species
UACGUAGGGAGCAAGCGUUGUCCGGAAUCAUUGGGCGUAAAGCGCGUGUAGGCGGUUCAGUAAGUCUGCUGUGAAAGUCCAGGGCUCAACCCUGGGAUGCCGGUGGAUACUGCUGGGCUAGAGUACGGAAGAGGCGAGUGGAAUUCCCGGUGUAGCGGUGAAAUGCGCAGAUAUCGGGAGGAACACCAAUUGCGAAGGCAGCUCGCUGGGACGUUACUGACGCUGAGACGCGAAAGCGUGGGGAGCAAACAGG